rfam:Ictidomys tridecemlineatus contig095880, whole genome shotgun sequence.
GGGGUCCUGGCUCAGUGGGAGAGCCCUUGCCUCACAUGUAUGAGGCACUGAGUUCGAUUCUCAGGACCGCA